CACGUAGGGGACGAGCGUUGUCCGGAUUCAUUGGGCGUAAAGAGCUCGUAGGCGGCCACUCAAGUCGAAUGUGAAACCUCGAGGCUUAACCUCGAGCCUGCAUUCGAUACUGGGUGGCUAGAGUCUGGUAGGGGGAUCUGGAAUUCCUGGUGUAGCGGUGGAAUGCGCAGAUAUCAGGAGGAACACCGGUGGCGAAGGCGGGAUCCUGGGCCAGUACUGACGCUGAGGAGCGAAAGCGUGGGGAGCAAACAGG
rnacentral:rRNA from 1 species